GUAGGUGGCAAGCGUUGUCCGGGAAUUAUUGGGGCGUAAAAGCGCGCGCAGGCGGUUCUUUAAGUCUGAUGUGAAAAGCCCACGGGCUCAACCGUGGGAGGGUCAUUGGAAACUGGAGAACUUGAGUGCAGAAGAGGAAAGCGGAAUUCCACGUGUAGCGGUGAAAUGCGUAGAGAUGUGGAGGAACACCAGUGGCGAAGGCGGCUUUCUGGUCUGUAACUGACGCUGAGGCGCGAAAGCGUGGGGAGCAAACAGGAUUAGAUACCCUGGUAGUCCACGCCGUAAACGAUGAGCGCUAAGUGUUAGGGGUUUCCACCCCUUAGUGCUGCAGCUAACGCAUUAAGCACUCCGCCGUGGGGAGUACGGCCGCAAAGGCUGA
rnacentral:rRNA from 1 species